rnacentral:tRNA from 2 species
CGUCGCCGAGCCCUUCGGCGAGCGGGGCGGAGCCGGUGACGACGGCGGGGGUGCCGAGGGCGUUCCAGCGGAUCGUGGCCGCGCCGGCCU